UACAGAGGGUGCAAGCGUUGUUCGGAAUUAUUGGGCGUAAAGCGCGUGUAGGCGGCUUUGCAGGUCGGAUGUGAAAGCCCUCGGCUCAACCGAGGAAGUGCGUUCGAAACUGCAGAGCUUGAGUGCCGGAGAGGGUGGCGGAAUUCCCCAAGUAGAGGUGAGAUUCGUAGAUAUGGGGAGGAACACCGGUGGCGAAGGCGGCCACCUGGACGGUCACUGACGCUGAGACGCGAAAGCGUGGGUAGCAAACAGG
rnacentral:rRNA from 1 species